UACGUAGGGUGCAAGCGUUAAUCGGAAUGACUGGGCGUAAAGGGUGUGUAGGCGGUUUGUUAAGUCGGAUGUGAAAUCCCCGGGCUCAACCUGGGAACUGCAUUGGAAACUGGCAGACUAGAGUACGUAAGAGGGGGGUGGAAUUCCACGUGUAGCAGUGAAAUGCGUAGAGAUGUGGAGGAACACCGAUGGCGAAGGCAACCCCCUGGGACGAUACUGACGCUGAGGCACGAAAGCGUGGGGAGCAAACAGG
rnacentral:rRNA from 1 species